GGAGACCAUCCCAACCUCAUAGAGAAAGGACAUGUGAUGGGGUGUUCACUCUUCACUAAUCUAGAAGAGUGUUACAAGUAUGGAUCCAUAGUGGGGAUACUAGCUUUAAUUAUACGUCUGUAACCAAACGAAGGAAGAAGCUGGCCUUUCCUGGACAGGAAAGCAUCACAGCUAUGUAACUACGUUAAGUGAAAUUGAGGAUGGUGUGGCCAAAAACAAUGGAAGCCACACUUACAUUCAAAUCAGCAGAGGGAUGGGAAGACCAUACUGGAUAAUAAAGCUUGUUGCUGCCGCAGC